GGCCACCAUCGUCAACAGCAGCUGCAACUCGACAAGAUAACGAACGGCCUGUCUGGAGACGGUGCGGGAGUCCAAUAAGGAGUCGGAGGAUCCCAGGCCGGGAUCACUAUUGGACCAAAGGGCGCGUGGAAGGCUCGUGAAGAGCGCGUGAGGGGCGGGUGAUUAGUCUGUAGAGGUUUAAUUGCCCAGGGAUUUCUUUGUUCGGGUUGGUCCCUCCUCGGAGACAUCCAACUAGAGCCGACUCUGCUGCUGUACCGCUCUAUUAAAUUAUUUAUUUUUAUGAGAUUCGAUGCCUGAAAGUCUGUUUCGGGAAACCCGAGGGCUCGAACUUCGGAGCGAACUAACACCAGAUGCCUGGAUGGAAGCGUCAUAGGUGGACUUUGUCUGCAACAGCUGAUGAGCAGCGUGGUUAUGACUGAUGAAACAAGACCAAGAGGAUGCUGGAGAGCAGGAGAUAACGAAAUGACAAAUCGUGCCUACAACCACUCCUCCAAAGCGCUUGACUAGACCCUAUUUCGCAAUAACGCCCCUGGGCUGCAAAGCGCUCCAUUCCAGUGACUUCAGAGGAGUAUUCAGAAGUUUUAAAGAAAUGUAAGGAACGAGAAAUACACCCAUGAGGAGAAGUUCAGUAACUAGAAGGGAGCUGGCAAGAAGGUGACAAAUAAAAGCACAGACUUGGGCAGAACAAGUUAAUUUCAAACACUACUGAUGCUGAGUAAGUGCCUUGUUCAGCUCACACAGAGGCAAGUGGGAGGUCUGACUGACAUCAGUGGAAACAUGUGAACAUUUAAAACCGUCAAGAGUCUUCGUAAGUAAAUGUUCAAACAAGACCGUAAUAAGCCGAGGAAACGGGCUUGUGAAAUAGAGGGGCCCACACCUGCAAAGCACAGCUCUCUCUUCAUUUAGAACAUCAUCUUUUUGGGCUGUAUUUGAGAUACGGGCGUAAGCACUCUCAGUUUUCCCCCAAACCAAAGUUAACCACUUUCCCAUUUCAAGAAGUGAAUGAAAGACACAGCAACUGAAAGCAUUAAUAUCUGUAUUACAGGUCUCGACGCUCUCUUGCUUCGUUUUGUUCAUCGGGAAAAAAAAAGAAAAAAAAAAAGAAAGAAAAAAAGCACUU